rnacentral:rRNA from 1 species
UACGUAGGAUCCAAGCGUUGUCCGGAUUUACUGGGCGUAAAGGGUGCGCAGGCGGCCUUAUAAGUCAGGGGUGAAAUCUCGCUGCUCAACAGCGAAACUGCCUUUGAUACUGUAGGUCUAGAAUUAGGGAGAGAUUCGUGGAAUUCCGAGUGUAGCAGUGAAAUGUGUAGAUAUUCGGAAGAACACCAGAGGCGAAGGCAGCGAAUUGGCCCUAUAUUGACGCUCAGGCACGAAAGCAUGGGGAUCAAACAGG